UGAGCAGGGGGUGGAGGGAGAUGGCUCAGCCCAGCUGUCGGCUGAGCGGCAUUCCAGGUGUCUGUCGGCAGAGUCUCCCGGAGCUAGCACUGUCUCAUUUCUCCCCCUUCCUUCUUGGCCUGCAGAGCCUGCCGCAGCGGAGAAGGGUGAAUGAAGCACGGGCGCGAAGAGAGAAUUCAGGAUUCCUGACUCCCUGCUUGGGCCACCCAUGGGAACGCCUGGGGCAGCUCCUGCUCAGGCUAUGCAGGGACCAAACUGAACAUUUUAUCCCAAAUGGAGCAGGCUGGAGCACCAGGGGCCAAGGAUCAGCAGGACUCGCUGGAAGAAGAAAGCUCAGAAACCCCCUCCUUCACAACCUGCACUUUCAGCCUAGACGGCUAGACUGUGUCCCUUGAACUGCCUUCAUCUCCACCCUACUUUCAGUUUGUCCUGGAUGGAUGUUCCCCAAGACCCACCUCUUUCCAAAACAGGGCUCUGUUAGCACACCGCCAGGGAGAGGCGAGAGUGUUUUCUGACUCUUUCUGCAUAAUUUCUAUAGCUGUCAAAGGGGAGUUGGAACCAAUCACCCCCAUGCCGACCCAGAGCAGUAAACUUCACUUUGAUGUCCUUCUGCACUGUACAGAUACACUGAGUGACCGACAGUGAAACACAUGUCUUUAAGGCACACAUUUCAGGAGAACACAGCUGUAUUGUGGAACACGC